rnacentral:rRNA from 1 species
GACGAACGCUGGCGGCGUGCCUAAUACAUGCAAGUUGAGCGAUGAAGAUUGGUGCUUGCACCAAUUUGAAGAGCAGCGAACGGGUGAGUAACGCGUGGGGAAUCUGCCUUUGAGCGGGGGACAACAUUUGGAAACGAAUGCUAAUACCGCAUAACAACUUUAAACAUAAGUUUUAAGUUUGAAAGAUGCAAUCGCAUCACUCAAAGAUGAUCCCGCGUUGUAUUAGCUAGUUGGUGAGGUAAAGGCUCACCAAGGCGAUGAUACAUAGCCGACCUGAGAGGGUGAUCGGCCACAUUGGGACUGAGACACGGCCCAAACUCCUACGGGAGGCAGCAGUAGGGAAUCUUCGGCAAUGGACGAAAGUCUGACCGAGCAACGCCGCGGGAGUGAAGAAGGUUUUCGGAUCGUAAAACUCUGUUGGUAGAGAAGAACGUUGGUGAGAGUGGAAAGCUCAUCAAGUGACGGUAACUACCCAGAAAGGGACGGCUAACUACGUG